rnacentral:rRNA from 1 species
UACGAGUGCCCCAAGCGUUAUUCGGAAUUACUGGGCGUAAAGAGUGUGUAGGCGGUGCUCUAAGUUCGGUGUGAAAUCUCCCGGCUUAACUGGGAGGGUGCGCCGGAAACUGGAGUGCUCGAGCGUGGGAGAGGAAAGCGGAAUUCCUGGUGUAGCGGUGAAAUGCGUAGAUAUCAGGAGGAACACCUGCGGUGUAGACGGCUUUCUGGACCAUUGCUGACGCUGAGACACGAAAGCGUGGGUAGCAAACAGG